rnacentral:pre_miRNA from 1 species
AGAAGUUGUUAGCUGGUAGGUAUGAUUAGCUACCAUCUCUCAGCUUCAUU